GAUGAACGCUGGCGGCGUGCCUAAUACAUGCAAGUCGAGCGAACAGAUGAGGAGCUUGCUCCUCUGACGUUAGCGGCGGACGGGUGAGUAACACGUGGAUAACCUACCUAUAAGACUGGGAUAACUUCGGGAAACCGGAGCUAAUACCGGAUAAUAUAUUGAACCGCAUGGUUCAAUAGUGAAAGACGGUUUUGCUGUCACUUAUAGAUGGUUCCGCGCCGCAUUAGCUAGUUGGUAAGCUAAAGGCUUACCAAGGGAACGAUGCGUAGCCGACGUGAGAGGGUGAUAGGCCACACUGGAACUGGAACACGGUCCAGACUCCUACGGGAGGCAGCAGUAGGGAAUCUUACGCAGUGGGCGAAAGCCUGACGGAGCAACGCCGCGUGAGUGAUGAAGGUCUUCGGAUCGUAAAACUCUGUUAUUGGGGAAGAACAAAUGUGUAAGUAACUAUGCACGUCUUGACGGUACCUAAUCAGAAAGCCACGGCUAACUACGUG
rnacentral:rRNA from 1 species